rnacentral:rRNA from 1 species
UACGAAGGGUGCAAGCGUUACUCGGAAUUACUGGGCGUAAAGCGUGCGUAGGUGGUUCGUUAAGUCUGAUGUGAAAGCCCUGGGCUCAACCUGGGAAUGGCAUUGGAAACUGGCGACCUAGAGUGCGGUAGAGGGUAGUGGAAUUCCCGGUGUAGCAGUGAAAUGCGUAGAGAUCGGGAGGAACAUCCGUGGCGAAGGCAAUCCCCUGGGCCUGCACUGACGCUCAUGCACGAAAGCGUGGGGAGCAAACAGG